UACGAAGGGGGCUAGCGUUGCUCGGAAUGACUGGGCGUAAAGGGCGCGUAGGCGGCUCAUACAGUCAGAUGUGAAAUUCCUGGGCUCAACCUGGGGGCUGCGUUUGAUACGUGUUUGCUAGAGUGGGGAAGAGGGUCGUGGAAUUCCCAGUGUAGAGGUGAAAUUCGUAGAUAUUGGGAAGAACACCGGUGGCGAAGGCGGCGACCUGGUCCUUGACUGACGCUGAGGCGCGAAAGCGUGGGGAGCAAACAGG
rnacentral:rRNA from 1 species